rnacentral:siRNA from 1 species
ACCACUAGGGGUGAACCCAAAUAU